UUGUGUGGAGUUCAGUGACAAAAAGGAUGAAAAUGGAAUGGAAUAGAGAAGAUCAGCAUGGCCCCUGCCGAAGCAUGAUAUUGAACUUUGUGAAGUAUCAUCCUUCAGC
rnacentral:snRNA from 1 species